GAUGAACGCUGGCGGCGUGCUUAACACAUGCAAGUCGAACGGAAAGGCCCAAGCUUGCUUGGGUACUCGAGUGGCGAACGGGUGAGUAACACGUGGGUGAUCUGCCCUGCACUUCGGGAUAAGCCUGGGAAACUGGGUCUAAUACCGGAUAGGACCACAUUUUGGAUGGUGUGGUGGAAAGUUUUUCGAUGUGGGAUGAGCUCGCGGCCUAUCAGCUUGUUGGUGGGGUAAUGGCCUACCAAGGCGUCGACGGGUAGCCGGCCUGAGAGGGUGUACGGCCACAUUGGGACUGAGAUACGGCCCAGACUCCUACGGGAGGCAGCAGUGGGGAAUAUUGCACAAUGGGCGCAAGCCUGAUGCAGCGACGCCGCGUGGGGGAUGACGGCCUUCGGGUUGUAAACUCCUUUCGCUAGGGACGAAGCGUUAUGUGACGGUACCUGGAGAAGAAGCACCGGCUAACUACGUG
rnacentral:rRNA from 1 species